rnacentral:rRNA from 1 species
AAACCUCUUUCAGCACAGACGAAGCGCCUGUGAAGGUGGUGACGGUAUGUGCAGAAGAAGCACCGGCCAACUACGUGCCAGCAGCCGCGGUAAUACGUAGGGUGCGAGCGUUGUCCGGAAUUAUUGGGCGUAAAGGGCUCGUAGGCGGUUUGUCGCGUCGGGAGUGAAAUCCACUGGCUUAACUGGUGGCUUGCUUUCGAUACGGGCAGACUGGAGGUAUGCAGGGGAGAACGGAAUUCCUGGUGUAGCGGUGAAAUGCGCAGAUAUCAGGAGGAACACCGGUGGCGAAGGCGGUUCUCUGGGCAUGUCCUGACGCUGAGGAGCGAAAGUGUGGGGAGCGAACAGGAUUAGAUACCCUGGUAGUCCACACCGUAAACGUUGGGCGCUAGGUGUGGGAUCCAUUCCACGGGUUCCGUGCCGCAGCUAACGCAUUAAGCGCCCCGCCUGGGGAGUACGGCCGCAAGGCUAAAACUCAAAGGAAUUGACGG